GUCAGAGGAGAAAACACUUCGUCUUGAUCUGAGAGCAGGACUGAGAGGAACACAGAGCAGCUUCUUCUCUCCUCAAGUUUCUUCACUCAUGGAAAAGAGUCUGUAAGAAGACGUGAAGAGAGUUCAGAAUAAAGGUCAGACUCUUUCAACAUUGGUUCCUGACUGAACUUUGUCUCGCCUCAAAUGUGGAACAUGUUUUAUCAAUCUGUGGAACAGAAAAUGGACAAACAGCAGUGACUGAAGAUGUCAGAUGUGGAUGAAGAGGAGGGCAGGUCAGGUGUGGACAGGUAAGA